UACAGGGGGGGCAAGCGUUGUUCGGAAUUACUGGGCGUAAAGGGCCAGUAGGCGGCCAACUAAGUCACACGUGAAAUCCCCAGGCUUAACCUGGGAACUGCGUGUGAUACUGGAUGGCUUGAAUUCGGGAGAGGGAUGCAGAAUUCCAGGUGUAGCGGUGAAAUGCGUAGAUAUCUGGAGGAAUACCGGUGGCGAAGGCGGCAUCCUGGACCGACAUUGACGCUGAGGAGCGAAAGCUAGGGGAGCAAACGGG
rnacentral:rRNA from 1 species